AUACGAACCGGACGAACGUUAUUCGGAAUCACUGGGCUUAAAGAGUGCGUAGGCGGCUACGCAAGUUGGGUGUGAAAUCCCACGGCUCAACCGUGGAACUGCGCUCAAAACUGCGUAGCUUGAGGGAGACAGGGGUAAGCGGAACUGAUGGUGGAGCGGUGAAAUGCGUUGAUAUCAUCAGGAACACCGGUGGCGUAGGCGGCUUACUGGGUCUCUUCUGACGCUGCGGCACGAAAGCUAGGGUAGCGAACGGGAUUAGAAACCCCAGUAGUCC
rnacentral:rRNA from 1 species